UACGGAGGGUGCAAGCGGUGUCCGGAAUUAUUGGGCGUAAAGGGCUCGUAGGCGGUCUGUCGCGUCUGCUGUGAAAUCCCGGGGCUCAACCCCGGGCUUGCAGUGGAUACGGGCAGACUAGAGUUCGGUAGGGGAGACUGGAAUUCCUGGUGUAGCGGUGAAAUGCGCAGAUAUCAGGAGGAACACCGGUGGCGAAGGCGGGUCUCUGGGCCGAUACUGACGCUGAGGAGCGAAAGCGUGGGGAGCGAACAGG
rnacentral:rRNA from 1 species